GACGAACGCUGGCGGCGUGCUUAACACAUGCAAGUCGAACGGAAAGGCCCUGCUUUUGUGGGGUGCUCGAGUGGCGAACGGGUGAGUAACACGUGAGUAACCUGCCCUUGACUUUGGGAUAACUUCAGGAAACUGGGGCUAAUACCGGAUAGGAGCUCCUGCUGCAUGGUGGGGGUUGGAAAGUUUCGGCGGUUGGGGAUGGACUCGCGGCUUAUCAGCUUGUUGGUGGGGUAGUGGCUUACCAAGGCUUUGACGGGUAGCCGGCCUGAGAGGGUGACCGGCCACAGGGGGACUGAGAUACGGCCCAGACUCCUACGGGAGGCAGCAGUGGGGAAUAUUGCAAAAGGGGCGGAAGCCUGAUGCAGCAACGCCGCGUGCGGGAUGACGGCCUUCGGGUUGUAAACCGCUUUCGCCUGUGACGAAGCGUGAGUGACGGUAAUGGGUAAAGAAGCACCGGCUAACUACG
rnacentral:rRNA from 1 species